rnacentral:rRNA from 1 species
UACGUAGGGCGCGAGCGUUGUCCGGAUUUAUUGGGCGUAAAGAGCUCGUAGGCGGCUUGUUGCGUCGGGCUGUGAAAACCCGCGGCUUAACCGCGGGCCUGCAGCCGAUACGGGCAGGCUAGAGUUCGGUAGGGGAGAAUGGAAUUCCCGGUGUAGCGGUGAAAUGCGCAGAUAUCGGGAGGACACCGGUGGCGAAGGCGGUUCUCUGGGCCUUACCUGACGCUGAGGAGCGAAAGCGUGGGGAGCGAACAGG